UACAGAGGGUGCAAACGUUGCUCGGAAUCAUUGGGCGUAAAGCGCACGUAGGCGGCCUAGCAAGUAGGGAGUGAAAGCCCUCGGCUUAACCGAGGAAGUGCUUUCUAAACUACUAGGCUUGAAUACUGGAGAGGGUCGCGGAAUUCCCGGUGUAGAGGUGAAAUUCGUAGAUAUCGGGAGGAACACCUGUGGCGAAAGCGGCUCACUGGACCGCAACUGACGCUGAGGCGCGAAAGCUAGGGGAGCAAACAGG
rnacentral:rRNA from 1 species